UUGAUAUGUGCGUACCUUGCAAGGUCCUCAUGUCUGUCAGACAGUUUUCACUUGACCUCGACUUCAUUUCAUGGAUCAGUGAACAAGGUUAAGUUUUGGUGGUCAAGUCCAUAUCUCAGAUACUAUAAGCAAUAGGGCUAGUAUAUUUGGUGUAUGGAAGGACUGUAAGGUGUACAUGUCCAACUGGCAGGUGUCAUAUGACCUUGA
rnacentral:lncRNA from 1 species